AGCCUUAUAGAGUGAGAGUUGCGACAACUCCAUUGACUCCAAUGGAACGCUUUUUUUACAGCAAUGGCGGCUCGUGGAGCCUCUAAAUAGUUCCCGGAAGUAGCAGCAAACCGAUGCCGCGCCGUAGAGAUGCAGCAGAACAAACCGUUCGCGACGCACUUUUAACAGGUCUAGGGGUGCAUCGUGGAGCAGGGCCCUCCUCUUUUUGACCACAGGACAAUGUACAAAGAUUGUGGGAAUAGCAUCUGGUCUCAGCCUACUCUUGAAUUUUUUGGUCAUGACAAAUUGCUUUGCCGCAAUUUGUCUGCAUACUGACUUCAGUUUAGUUUCCACACACACCUUUUUUUUUUGUCUACCCACAUACAGUACAUAUCACAUGGUGGUUAAAUGCACAGUUAUAGGUAACACUGAUGACUCCCUCCAAUGUCUCACCAUGAGUCUCAGCUCCCUGGGUUUUGCAAGGCUUUGCUUGUUCCUUAUUUCUAGUAAAACAUUGUCAAUGUAAAAAAGUGCAAAUAAAUUUAAGUAUAAUUACCUAACAA